AUUGAACGCUGGCGGCAUGCCUUACACAUGCAAGUCGAACGGCAGCAUGGAGAGCUUGCUCUCUGAUGGCGAGUGGCGAACGGGUGAGUAGUGCAUCGGAACGUACCGUGUAAUGGGGGAUAACGUAGCGAAAGUUACGCUAAUACCGCAUACGACCUGAGGGUGAAAGCAGGGGAUCGCAAGACCUUGCGUUAUACGAGCGGCCGAUGUCAGAUUAGCUAGUUGGUGAGGUAAAGGCUCACCAAGGCGACGAUCUGUAGCGGGUCUGAGAGGAUGAUCCGCCACACUGGGACUGAGACACGGCCCAGACUCCUACGGGAGGCAGCAGUGGGGAAUUUUAGACAAUGGGGGCAACCCUGAUCCAGCCAUGCCGCGUGAGUGAAGAAGGCCUUCGGGUUGUAAAGCUCUUUCGGCCGGGAAGAAAUCGCACAGACUCAUACUCUGUGUGGAUGACGGUACCGGCAUAAGAAGCACCGGCUAACUACGUGCCAGCAGCCGCCGUAA
rnacentral:rRNA from 1 species